GCAGCCCCAUUUCACCUAGUGAUGCUCCUCUCUGUUUAACACCCUCCAUCUCCCUUCUCACUCCUGCCCCCCCAUCGCUCCCCCCAGGCUCUGCCUCCUGCGUCAGGGAGGCGGUCUGGACGGGAGGAGGGGGUGAGCUCCUCCAGGACCCUGACCUGCCCCCCUCCGAAAUCUGCUGCUGAGGCCCCUGCCUCAGUGGGUCGGAGAUCGUGAGGGCAAGCAGGGGAGAGGAAGUCUGUUUUGGUGCAGUGGAAGCAGCUGGAGAGAGGGAGAUUUCGAGUGGGGGGGGGUGAGAGAUGGACAGUGUCACGGGAAAUCGGCCUCCGGGUGGGAGAUCUGGCCUGUCUUGCAGGAUUGGCCCAGCGCAGAGGGGCUGAGGGACUUUCUCUGCCGGUGCUGCCAGCCUCGCUCCUGCCUGGCUUCGUCCCCAUCCAGGUUGCCAGGAGGGCCUUCUAACACUAAAGGUCUUCUAAAGCCCACCACCUGGGCAAUGCUCACACAAGGACCCUGCAAGGCGGGCCAGGAUGACAGCCAGAUUGAUGGGCAGGGCCAGAGGACAGAGUUGGUCGGGCUAUGGGGCUGACUCUGAGCUUUGUCCAGGAGCUGCCUGCCUUCCAGGGAUUUUUCCCAGCCCCACAAAAAAAAACCUCAGGAGGCAGCUGGGAAGCGUUGGAAAGAAGGUGUGGUGCUGGGGAAAUUCCUGACGGCCAGAGAGAGAGAGAGAAAGGAUUUGAGGGCCAAUUCAGCCCCUGGGUCUGAGGUUUCUCACCCUGCAGUUCGGGUGCUGGGCUUCCACCAGGGAGACCCAGUCUCCCAUCCCCCUGCUCAGGAGGGAUGCCCUGUGCCCAGUUUGGACCCCCUGAUUAUUUCUCCUCCUGUCCUUCCUCCCAGUGUAGGGAAGAUAAAAGGGGACACACACACACACACACACACACACACACACACAGAGGUUCCUAAGAGGACGGACUAGGGGGCCAUAAGCCACUGAACUUCCUAUCUCUGUCCCCUAAACUACAAUCCAUGUUAGCGCAUAGAGUGCUCUAAAUAUUUCCUCUCCCCUUGGAUGGAGCUUCUGCACCCUGGUGCCCCCCAGGUGUUGGUUUUCCUCUGUCUGCAAAUACUGCCCAUUAUUUAGGAGUUUCCCUUAUUUUCUUUAUUCUAAAUGUACCAAAAGGUCAGACUGUUUGGGGGAAAGGAACAGUGAG